GUGGAGUGUUAGACACAGACCAAGACUGGGCUUGCUUGUUAUCAACAAACCCCUGUGUGUUUUGCAUUGGCUAUUGGCUCUGUGGUGGUCUUGCUCGGGGGUCUUGCGAUGCGGGCACAACAGGUUCUAAUUUGACGACAAUAUUUCAAGGUGGAGAAACUUUCAGAGAUGGUGCCUACUUGGAGGCACUUCAUGGAAGAGAGAGGCACUAUCUCAACCAAACCCUGCCCACACUGUAAAAUUCAUGAGAAGGAGCUGUUUGAAGCCUGCAGAAUGCUGAGGUUUAGACACAUUUCUGAGGAUCUUGAUCAAGGACACCAGUUCGUGGGAAAGGAGGCAUUAUUCUCUGCUUCACAUCUCAGCUUUGAACUGUGAGUGAGAGGUGAAGCUUGACUCACAGCCUCAGCUCUUUCUAAAGGGGAACCACAAAGAGACUACAUGACUGAAAUGGUGAAAGACAUUCUGAACGUCACUGCAGGCCACAGUCAACGUGGCAAGCACGUGAAGAGAUCUUCGUGUGAGCUGAGAACCAGAGAGCCUAAGGAGAAAUCCAAUGGACUGGCCAAGCAGAAGCAAUAGAUUCACCAUCUGACACUGAGAAAAUUACUGUCAUGCCAACUCAAUUUGCCAUGCACACGUACGUCAGAAGGCAGACAGGUGUGUGAUUCUGGACUUUGAGUUUCUCGAAUAGAGACUAUCCCAUAUUGCUUCCUUAAACAUCUAGCCCAGGCCUAACUAACAAGGGGCACUCAAAUAUCCUUGCAAAGUCUAUUUCUUGAAAGUAUUUAUAUUUUAUCACCUCUGGAGUUACUUCAUUCUAUGAUUUCCUCUAAGCAGUUUUUCCUUCUGUAUUCUGGUCAUUUCAGGCUACUUUUAGCAUGUACCCCAAAAGAUGGUGGAUAACUCUGUGUUUAUAGAACCAAUUGCCUUUGUGGUUUCUCUUCUGUUCCCUUCACUUUUGUGCAUAUGACUGAACAGUUCUGAGUCUAACAAGGUAGCUUCUAAGUCUUUUUCUUUAACUGCCUUCAGAUCUUUAUCCAAACUAUCGUGUAGGGAUCUUGCAGAGGUCAAAACCAUACAUAUAUACAGUUCCUAUUUGUACAAAUAAAAAGGUAACAUAUCUCCUAGUGAUGAUCAUGAUUUACAUUUUAAUGUAAUGUAAUUGUUUUAAGUCAGAAUCUCUCCAGUGACCUCUUGGCCUUAUUUUGGCAAACAAGAGCUCAAUGGCAGUGCAAUUCCUUCUUCUUCUUCAGGUUUCCUUCCCCCUCGGGUGUGAUUAUGAGCACUCUCCCUUAUCUACAAGGAUUUCUUCCAACCCUGGCUACCAGCAUCCCAUAUUAUAAGACAGUACACAAUUCACUGCUUUCACUAAGAAUGAUAUUAAAACUAGAAACUUAUCUUUCAGUCCUCCCUAAAAUUAAUCCUUGAAUGUUUUGCACCUAAUUUCUACCCUCGAAGUUUAAUGAUAUUUGCAGAGUGCUUAAGUCUUGGAAGCAUUGUUUUAAGUAAAUUAUACUAUUUGUAGCCAUAUAAUCCUAAAAAAACCCUUUGACAUCCACACUACAUUGUUCUUAUCUUACAAAUUAGUCAACAGUGCCAUAGUGCAGUUUAUUAAUUUGCCAUAAGUCAUAAAGUUUUAUGACUAAAAGCUCUGCCUAAAACUUGGGUUUAAUGGAGAAGGGAGAAAGACAACCUCCUUCGAAGUGACCCUAGCUAGAGCUAGGAGCCUACCCUACUCAGAGCUUUUUCCACCAACAGCAGUGUGGCUUUGAAUGAAUGUUCAAGCUCCUGAAGCCCAGAACUAAACAGCUAUAAUCUGAAGGCAAAAACAUGGCUUCUUGCAUGAAGCCAAUACAGACAUGGAUGGGAAGUACUUGGCUGGCUGACAGCACAUAACAAAUGCUCUCUCUCCACCCAGCUAGUCCUCGACUUUCAGGUCACCACAGCCGUGAAAGAGUCAUCCCUAAAAGCCAUAAGGUUUGCUUUCCAGCUCGGUCCUGUGGCAGCUGUAUGAACUGGAACCUGUUUUCUAUCAAUCCUAAAACCCACUGUUGGUGUUAAAUGAGAUCACAUUUGAAAGGCAAUUAGCACAGAGUCUGACAUAGGAUGAAUGCUCAGUAAAUGACAAUUUGAUGAGCAAUAUGACAAUGCUGAUGAAAAAGAAGAAGAGGGAGUCAUGGAGGGAUUACAGUAUUUCAGUGCAAUUCUCCCUUCCCCAUUAAAAAAUGAAAAGAAAAAACAGCAGCUUUCCAGAACCAUAGAUAUAGGAAAGCUAUUCACUACUUCCUCAAGUGAGAUAGAUGAUUACGUCUCCAGACUUUACCUUUAGGACAAUGGUUUCAGUCUCCUAAUGUGUGAGCCAAGCUGGGAUUGGUUGAACUUUCAAAUGACAGUGAAAGGGAUGUAGCUCAGGGAUCCAGCAGCCUAGACCUUAAACUGGUUCUUGGGUAAGUUUAAGUUGGGAGCCCCAGGACCACACUAAGACACACUAUGUUUACUGAAUUUUUAAAAAUCUAGAUGGAAUCAUUAGUGAAAUUUAAGGUUGGCUUUUGCUUUAAGGACAUUAUUUAUGAGGGAAUAUCUGCCAUUGUUCACCAACUCAAAGCAUUUGUGUAAAUGGCACACAGUUUAAUCAUUGAGAAUAAAAUCAACAAUAAAAGACAUUCCUUUGAAUUACAUAUGUACAUAUAUACAGAGAUGUGUAUAUAUUAUAUACCCUUAAGAAUACUGAUCUCAGUGAUUUGGAGUUUUCUUAAAAAGAACUUUCAGUCUAUUCUUAUUACUUCAUGUGGCUUAUUCUUAACCUCCAGCCCUUGCAACAUUAUGUAUGCAUGGUCACAUCAAAUAUUUUUGAUCAUUCAAUGAGAGAAAAUGAUUUUGUGUUUUCCAUAAUCCAAAGGGGACUCAUCUUGUUUUGUUAAAAUUACAUUCCCACAUAUUCAUCAAGAAUGCCUUAAUGCAUUUCACAAAGUUCAGCUAAUAUCUCCAACAUUAGUAAAGAAAAUGUAUACACAGAUGACCCACUCCUUAAAUUAAGCAGCUGAAAGAGUUCACAUCUUUAUAGGCUACAGACAAAGGCAAUAUUAUGAUUUAAUUAACAUCAAAUUAAAUUAUGUGCUCAAAUCACUGUAACAUACCCAUCAUUGACUAAAUUUAGUUGAUUUUUGUUUGUUUUUGAAAAAGCAACUUUCAAAGAUAAAAAUAAUGAAAUUUUCAUAUUUCAUCUGUGGCUACUAUGAAUUCCUGGUAUUACUAAGAGAUUAACUCUAAAAUCCUUCCAGAGACAAAAUGAAGCUCAAAAUCCAGUAAAGCACAUAACUUCAUUCUUACUGGCAUUAGAAAACAUUUUUGAGACAUUUGGUAAUUUUGAGAUAUCUUUGGCCAAGUCAUGAGUAAACAUGCAACUGAAGAAAAGUGGCGGGUGAAUCUCAAUAUAAAACAAGGGGCUUCACUGAAGACGAACAUUGGGACCUUCUGUGCGGUUUUUCUGGUAUUUUUCUAAAAUCUGCUAUGUAAAAAUUUAUGUCCUGUUAAAACAAUCAGUUUUUGAUAUUUUUUCAACCACUUUUUUCUUGUUUGAGAAUUUCACGCAUGCGUAUAGUAUGUUUGUCUAUACCUUUAACUCACACAUUUCUUUCAAGUUUGACUUCACCAUCUAUAAUUGUUUAAA